GACGAACGCUGGCGGCGUGCCUAAUACAUGCAAGUAGACCACUGGUGCGGCCGGGUGAGUAACACGUGGGCACGUGCCUUUAGGUUCGGUAUAACUCAGGGAAACUUGUGCUAAUACCGAAUGCCUUUAGGGCGGGCCCCGUCGGCUUAGCUAGUUGGUGAGGUAAAGGCGCACCAAGGCGACGAUCAGUAGCUGGUCUGAGAGGUUGAUCAGCCACAUUGGGACUGGGACACGGCCCAAACUCCUACGGGAGGCAGCAGUGGGGAAUCUUGCGCAAUGGGCGAAAGCCUGACGCAGCCAUGCCGCGUGAAUGAUGAAGGUCUUAGGAUUGUAAAAUUCUUUCACCGGGGACGCGGUACCCGGAGAAGAAGCCCCGGCUAACUUCGUGCCAGCCGCCGCGGUAAUAC
rnacentral:rRNA from 1 species